CCUACGUGCGGCAGCAGUGGGGAAUAUUGGACAAUGGGCGAAAGCCUGAUCCAGCCAUGCCGCGUGUGUGAAGAAGGCCUUCGGGUUGUAAAGCACUUUCAGUGGGGAAGAAAGCCUUGGGGCUAAUACCCUCGAGGAAGGACAUCACCCACAGAAGAAGCACCGGCUAACUCCGUGCCAGCAGCCGCGGUAAUACGGAGGGUGCGAGCGUUAAUCGGAAUUACUGGGCGUAAAGCGCGCGUAGGCGGUCUGAUAAGCCGGUUGUGAAAGCCCCGGGCUCAACCUGGGAACGGCAUCCGGAACUGUCAGGCUAGAGUGCAGGAGAGGAAGGUAGAAUUCCCGGUGUAGCGGUGAAAUGCGUAGAGAUCAGGAGGAAUACCAGUGGCGAAGGCGGCCUUCUGGACUGACACUGACGCUGAGGUGCGAAAGCGUGGGUAGCAAACAGGAUUAGAUACCCGAGUAGUC
rnacentral:rRNA from 1 species